AGUAAAACAACACACUUCUGUCCCUGCCGCUACUAAAGUUCUUAAGCUCCCCAACCUUUUUUCUUUUACCUUAUCUCUUUUUUGGGCCUCUAGAAGGAAAAUAUCCGUCUUUUUUUCUUACUACUGACUCCAGUGUGUUUAUAACUUUGGUAUUUUUGUUUGUCAUUGUUUUGGCUUAAAUGUGAAUGUAAAGGAGAGUUCAACAGCAGUAAAUAAAGUGCUGAGUAGCCUGUAGAAAUGCUUUUGUAUUGAAGUCAGAUUAAAUUUGUCCUCCAGUAAGAUUUCUGUCACUGCCCUCUCUCCUCUGCCUUCCUUCCGCUGGAUUCCUUCCCCUAGCAUGGCAGGCUAUCUCCACACUCUCAGGGUGCUAGCAGCUUCUUGGAUUUACUCUUGACUUUUCAUGAGAUUGUUGGAGACUGAAAACAAAAAAAGCCUUUAAGAUCCUAAAACAAAUUAUAACUAAGGAUAUAAUUUCAGACCACUGGGACACAUAUGGUGAGGAAGGGAACCCUCCCAAUGUUUCCAAUAGGUCAGUCUAUAAUCAACAAGAGUUCUGCACAGGAAUGAAACAGAGGAUGCUGAGAUGGAGAAGAAUCAGCAUGAUUGUAUACGAAUGAGUGGCAACAGAGAUAGCUUCCUCAAAAGGAAGAAAUAUGCAUCACACUCUGUUCUGGGUCAAAUAGAAUGUUACAAAUUAUAGGAAAGAAAUGAUCUAGGUAAUUAUUUUUAUACCAUUUCACUUAAAACCCUUCAUUUUCUUUGAAUGGUAGUCAUUUGUUUUCUUUCUAGGUGGGGUGAUGGAAUAACCAUCUGCCAACGUAUGGCCCCAAUGUGUAGGGAGUGGUCACACACCAGGGUGUGAGAAAUGCAUAUUUUUCUCAGUGUGUGGGCUCAUGGAUGAGAGAGAAAUAGCCACUGACAACGUGGGGGAAAAGAAAUACCUUGACUAAAUCAUAUGGCAUUCUUUAUGAUGUUGCAGUUCUUUUAAAAUAACCUCAAAACUUUCCUAAAAGAAACUGAAUGUAUAUCUGUGAAGGCUAAUUAAGAAUGUGAAUAAACACAAAAAUGACAAUUUUGAAGAAAAUCUUUUUGGAAUCUGUACCAUACUUCUUUUAGUCUCUGGCCCAAAUGACAAAGAUGAACUCUGUUAAUACAUUAUGUGGGUCUAUCUAUUGGCAGUCAACUUGUUGGAGAGGCUGCCUGACUUGGACAUAAAUAAUAAGAGAAUUGCAUAAAUAAGAGAAUUUGCACUCUUUACAUAGGAGUGCAAAGCCAAGUCUAUCUUUAGGGGGAUUCUAGCUAAGUAGAGUCCAUUCCAUAUUUUUAUUUAGAUAAUUUCCUAGGUAGCUCGUCUUGGACACCAUCAUCAAAUAAAUCAGUACAGAGUAGAUUGUAUUUUCUCUAGAGAAACAAUGUUAGAAUGGAACUUUGAAACAAUUAAGUCAUUGUUAUGGCCAAUAGUAUGUUAUAAAAGCAAACAAGUAGCAUCCAAAUAAGUAAAUGUAUUUUCUAAAUCUUAAUAAAUUACAUAUAUAUAGAUAUAUAAAUAUACCAUAUGUGGACUGUGGAAAGGAUAUAGAUCUAAAGAUACAUAUCAGCUGUAUCUUACCAAAAAUGUAUUUGUUAACUAGAAUUAAGCAUUUUAUUAAGAACUGAAUUUGUUGUCCAGAAAUGUAGAAAGUCCCGUUGGAUGUCUUGGAUCUCUUAAAAAAUAACUCCAAGCAAUUUUCUGCAGAAAAUGACUUUUCCCCCUGUUUAAUAUACUCCCUGUAGCAAGCAAAAGCAUUUAAAUCAUUUCACUGACCUCAGCACUACCCUACAGUGUGAUACUCAGAACAUGCUUGUUGUUAGGAGGAUUGGU
rnacentral:lncRNA from 1 species